UACAGAGGUCUCGAGCGUUGUUCGGAUUCAUUGGGCGUAAAGGGUGCGUAGGUGGCGCUGUAAGUCGGGUGUGAAAUCCUGAGGCUUAACCUCGGAACUGCAUUCGAUACUGCCGUGCUUGAGGACUGGAGAGGAGACUGGAAUUUACGGUGUAGCGGUGAAAUGCGUAGAUAUCGUAAGGAAGACCAGUGGCGAAGGCGGGUCUCUGGACAGUUCCUGACGCUGAGGCACGAAGGUCAGGGGAGGCAAACGGG
rnacentral:rRNA from 1 species